rnacentral:misc_RNA from 1 species
UUUCCGUAGGUGAACCUGCGGAAGGGUCAUUACCGAGUUUUCACUGGAUUGUAACUGUCCUUCCUAGGCAUUGCCGCGCUCUGCUCAUCCACUCUACACCUCGUCACGUACUGCUGGUAUCACAUCGCGAAGCGUUCCCUUUUACCGGAGCUUGUGAAGCGUUUCUGUGCCUGCGUUCAUCUCAAACACUAAAAAGUAUCAGAAUUUGUAUUACGAUGUAACGCACCUAUAUACAACUUUCAGCAACGGAACUCUUGGCUCUCGCAGCGAUGAAGAACG